AGGACGAACGCUGGCGGCGUGCUUAACACAUGCAAGUCGAACGGAAAGGCCCGCUUGCGGGUACUCGAGUGGCGAACGGGUGAGUAACACGUGGGCAACCUGCCCUCAGCUUCGGGAUAACACUUGGAAACAGGUGCUAAUACCGGAUAAUAACCUUUCAUCGCAUGGUGUGGGGUUCAAAGUUUUUCGGCUGGGGAUGGGCCCGCGGCCUAUCAGCUUGUUGGUGGGGUAAUGGCCUACCAAGGCGACGACGGGUAGCCGGCCUGAGAGGGCGACCGGCCACACUGGGACUGAGACACGGCCCAGACUCCUACGGGAGGCAGCAGUGGGAAUAUUGCGCAAUGGGCGGAAGCCUGACGCAGCGACGCCGCGUGAGGGAUGACGGCCUUCGGGUUGUAAACCUCUUUCAGCUCUGACGAAGCGCAAGUGACGGUAGGAGCAGAAGAAGCACCGGCCAACUACGCGCCAGCAGCCGC
rnacentral:rRNA from 1 species